CUCUUCUCCGUAUAAAGACUUGACCCCAAAACGCAAGUCGUAAAUCAGUGCCUUGCAGCAGAGCCUCAUGUUCAGAGAUUCCCUUGCCAGUCUUCUUACGUGCCCCAUUAGACUACUGCAGCCUUCAUUCAACUUUUCUGAAGAGACGUGUAGUCUCCUUACGUCCCCGACGUAAAUAAACCCCACUCGCAGUCUAGUAACAUAGCGUUGCAUCAGUACACAUGCACUCUUCGUACAGACGCAUCGAGGGCUGGUCAUGUUCUGUUUGUCCGCCUGUGUGAAUGUUUCAAUUCGAGAAAAGCUGUAAGGAUUCUAACGAAAAUUAGUUUGAACACGUAGGCAUAUUAUUCGAGGCUACCACGUAUUCAUAAUUCAAGCAAUAACAUCAACAUGAUAGUCGCACGAACUUCAGUGGUGGAAGAAACACUAGCAGCACUAAAUACACGAUGUAAUCUGAAACGGUGGACAUAUUUGUUUAAAAAUGUUCAACUUCUUUUACCUUCUUUCUUUUGAAAUGUAAAGAAAUAAAACGGCGGCUGCAUUAAACCUAUAUUUACUGCACUGCACUGUACUGUAGUAACAGGUGACAUUUUCGGUGUAUUUUAUGCAUAUUAGCUUAUACUAUGGUGUAAAUAUGAAUUAUAGACAUACUGUGUGUUUCUUCGUGAGUGAUAAUUUUUGCAAGAGGACACUGGAAAAUUGGAACAUUCGAAUUCAUCCAGACUUCUCGAGUUAACCACGAUUAAGGACAAGACUGCAGCGAACGGAUCUCUGUACCGUUCAACUAGAGACCGGAUUUUUCCUUCACCGAGUGAAAGACCAGGAUUUCUUCACCAGUUCAAAAGGAAACUUUUCAAGAAACGAAAGGAACGCCUAUGCUCAGAUGGAGAUGAAUGAUGACUAAAAUGUAGUAAAUGCCCAUUCAUACUAGAUGAAGAUGGGCUCUGGUUUGUUUUUCGGCGGCGAAGAAAACGUCCCAGACAGGAACCGAACUUCGACCGUAAGGUCAUAAAGCAAAUUCUCUCAUACGACGAUGCCAUUGUGCUUGUUGGCUAUAAGAAAGAUUUACGAUCCUCCGACAUAAAGUCUUAUCUUUUAUGAUAAUUAAAUGCUAGCGAUACGUGCUCAUAGACAAUAUGGACUUCGUAAUGUUUUACCCGCCAAUGAUAAUUAUUUCUUUUGUGUCCAAACCGAAAGAUCUUGUCCAGUGAUAUUCGUAUUGUUACCAUACAAAAGCCUUUGGAUUCGUCUCCUUGAAAGUUGCAGUGCAGUAACCGUCCAAAUCACAGGCUAAUACCAAAGUCCAGUCCAAAAUUGUAGUAACUUGCCGAGCAAAGUUUGUGUUACAAAGACGUUGAGAAGCUCUCUCUUCGAUCCCGCUUGAAGGGGUCUGAGGCACAACCAUGCAAUGGCGGAUAAGUAACGGCUGCCCGUGUGUGUAAUAGACUUCGCACCUAUAUCAAUUGUCAAGGAGCGAGGCUGCUUUCACAUCCUCUAGGUCGACGCAUCUAGGAGCGAAAUUAUUCCGUACUAAACGUAAUUUGUAACUAACUCCAUUGGGCAGGGUCCUUCACGAGAAACUACUGCUAUUCAGGUAGUCAAAAAAUUUCCUGAAAGUUCAUUAUCAUGUUUAAAAGAGCCUUCCACUUGUCCAAAUUCUGAGCUAGCUGAAUCAUGUUCACACCAUCCCCUUAUUUUCUGAAGACCAUUUUUUAUCCUCCCAUUUACGCCUAAGUCUUUCAAGCGAACCCUUUCCAUCAAGUCUUCUAAAUACUGGAGCGUAAUACCUUACACAUUGAUGUCAAUGCUGAAAUGUUCAAAGCUGCUAACACAAAAGCCUUCGAGAUCAAUGCAAGCUCCAUCCUUGAAGUACAUUUAGUAUUAGAGUUUCUUGUCGGGUUCCGAAUUCGGGAAGCAGUUUUCUAGUUGGUUUCCACGCCCAAACUCUCUAAGUAUUUCUAUUUCCCAUCCGUGCUACUAUCUCAGUCCGUCGAAAUUUUAUGAUGCUGCUAGUCUAUUCUUAUAAUGCAAGCAGGGAUAGUGACCCUCUUCACUUCCUGGUACCAUAAUUAAGUGUGAUGUUUCUACUAGCCAGCAUGAAGUCCAGUGGUGCCAACCCUACUCACUGUACCCUUACACCCUGACAAGACUUGGUGAAAUUGUUGCUGCUUCACAUUCUCUGCAGAGCGAUGUGGGUUUGCGAGGCGGCUCAGCUCCUUAACUCCUUAAUUUUAUAGGUUUACGUCUCAGAUGAAAAUGUUUGAUAAUAAGCGUUAUAAAAAUGGGUUUUGUUUCCUUGUAGCUACAGUUCUCCGUGCCACUAUAGCUCUCUCUGUUCGGAGUGUAGA